UGCUUAACACAUGCAAGUCGAACGGAAAGGCCCUGCUUUUGUGGGGUGCUCGAGUGGCGAACGGGUGAGUAACACGUGAGUAACCUGCCCUUGACUUUGGGAUAACUUCAGGAAACUGGGGCUAAUACCGGAUAGGAGCUCCUGCUGCAUGGUGGGGGUUGGAAAGUUUCGGCGGUUGGGGAUGGACUCGCGGCUUAUCAGCUUGUUGGUGGGGUAGUGGCUUACCAAGGCUUUGACGGGUAGCCGGCCUGAGAGGGUGACCGGCCACAUUGGGACUGAGAUACGGCCCAGACUCCUACGGGAGGCAGCAGUGGGGAAUAUUGCACAAUGGGCGGAAGCCUGAUGCAGCAACGCCGCGUGCGGGAUGACGGCCUUCGGGUUGUAAACCGCUUUCGCCUGUGACGAAGCGUGAGUGACGGUAAUGGGUAAAGAAGCACCGGCUAGCUACGUGCCAGCAGCCGCGGUGAUACGUAGGGUGCGAGCGUUGUCCGGAUUUAUUGGGCGUAAAGGGCUCGUAGGUGGUUGAUCGCGUCGGAAGUGUAAUCUUGGGGCUUAACCCUGAGCGUGCUUUCGAUACGGGUUGACUUGAGGAAGGUAGGGGAGAAUGGAAUUCCUGGUGGAGCGGUGGAAUGCGCANAUAUCAGGAGNAACACCAGUGGCGAAGGCGGUUCUCUGGGCCUUUCCUGACGCUGAGGAGCGAAAGCGUGGGGAGCGAACAGGCUUAGAUACCCUGGUAGUCCACGCUGUAAACGGUGGGUACUAGGUGUGGGGUCCAUUCCACGGGUUCCGUGCCGUAGCUAACGCUUUAAGUACCCCGCCUGGGGAGUACGGCCGCAAGGCUAAAACUCAAAGGAAUUGACGGGGCCCCGCACAAGCGGCGGAGCAUGCGGAUUAAUUCGAUGCAACGCGUAGAACCUUACCUGGGUUUGACAUGGAUCGGGAGCGCUCAGAGAUGGGUGUGCCUCUUUUGGGGUCGGUUCACAGGUGGUGCAUGGCUGUCGUCAGCUCGUGUCGUGAGAUGUUGGGUUAAGUCCCGCAACGAGCGCAACCCUUGUUCACUGUUGCCAGCACGUUAUGGUGGGGACUCAGUGGAGACCGCCGGGGUCAACUCGGAGGAAGGUGGGGAUGACGUCAAGUCAUCAUGCCCCUUAUGUCCAGGGCUUCACGCAUGCUACAAUGGCUGGUACAGAGAGUGGCGAGCCUGUGAGGGUGAGCGAAUCUCGGAAAGCCGGUCUCAGUUCGGAUUGGGGUCUGCAACUCGACCUCAUGAAGUCGGAGUCGCUAGUAAUCGCAGAUCAGCAACGCUGCGGUGAAUACGUUCCCGGGGCUCGUACACACCGCCCGUCAAGUCAUGAAAGUUGGUAACACCCGAAGCCGGUGGCCUAACCGUUGUGGGGGAGCCGUCGAAGGUGGGACUGGUGAUUAGGACUAAGUCGUAACAAGGUAACC
rnacentral:rRNA from 1 species